AGAGUUUGAUCAUGGCUCAGAUUGAACGCUGGCGGAAUGCUUUACACAUGCAAGUCGAACGGCAGCAUAGGUGCUUGCACCUGAUGGCGAGUGGCGAACGGGUGAGUAAUACAUCGGAACGUGCCCAGUCGUGGGGGAUAACGUAGCGAAAGUUACGCUAAUACCGCAUACGAUCUACGGAUGAAAGCGGGGGAUCGCAAGACCUCGCGCGAUUAGAGCGGCCGAUGCCUGAUUAGCUUGUUGGUGGGGUAAAAGCCCACCAAGGCGACGAUCAGUAGCUGGUCUGAGAGGACGAUCAGCCACACUGGGACUGAGACACGGCCCAGACUCCUACGGGAGGCAGCAGUGGGGAAUUUUGGACAAUGGGGGCAACCCUGAUCCAGCAAUGCCGCGUGAGUGAAGAAGGCCUUCGGGUUGUAAAGCUCUUUUGUCAGGGAAGAAACACCGGCUCUAACACAGUCCGGGAAUGACGGUACCUGAAGAAUAAGCACCGGCUAACUACGUGCCAGCAGCCGCGGUAAU
rnacentral:rRNA from 1 species